rnacentral:rRNA from 1 species
CCUACGGGAGGCAGCAGUGGGGAAUAUUGCACAAUGGGGGAAACCCUGAUGCAGCGACGCCGCGUGAGUGAAGAAGUAUUUCGGUAUGUAAAGCUCUAUCAGCAGGGAAGAAAAUGACGGUACCUGAUUAAGAAGCCCCGGCUAACUACGUGCCAGCAGCCGCGGUAAUACGUAGGGGGCAAGCGUUAUCCGGAUUUACUGGGUGUAAAGGGAGCGUAGACGGCAGCACAAGGCUUGAGUGAAAUGCCGGGGCUUAACCCCGGAACUGCUUUGGAAACUGUGCAGCUGGAGUGCAGGAGAGGUAAAUGGAAUUCCUAGUGUAGCGGUGAAAUGCGUAGAUAUUAGGAGGAACACCAGUGGCGAAGGCGGCUUACUGGACUGUAACUGACGUUGAGGCUCGAAAGCGUGGGGAGCAAACAGGAUUAGAUACCCUUGUAGUC